CUAUAAAUGAAUCUGCCCCACAUCUUCUCAAUUUCUUUCUCUGACAAUCCCAAACUUUUGGUCCUGAAAUAGGGGAAUUGGGUUUAAAAAGCUAAUUUCCUAGGGGAAGUGCUGCCCAAUUUAUUUUUAGGUUUGGACUUAGUUUUUUUUCAGGGGCAUUUUAAAAGGGGUAAACUAAAAGUUAUUUCAGGGGGAUUUUAAAAGGGGUAAACUAAAAGUUAUCUCGGGGAGAUUUUUAAAGUGGGUAAUCAAUCUCUUUCUAUUAAAUCCCAAACUAGUGUCCAUGCCUUUAAACAAAACCGAGACAGCAAUGAAGCAUAAUAUUAUAUAAAAAAAAAAAAAAAAAAAAAAAAAAAAAAAUCCCUACCUACCGUCCCUUCAAAAUUUCAAGGGGGUGAUCGGAAACACAACAUUAUUUUUUUUAGGCCUUAU
rnacentral:lncRNA from 1 species